rnacentral:misc_RNA from 1 species
GAUGAAGAACGUAGCGAAAUGCGAUAAGUAAUGUGAAUUGCAGAAUGCAGUGAAUCAUCGAAUCUUUCAACGCACAUUGCGCCCCUUGGUAUUCCGGGGGGCAUGCCUCUUCCAGCGUCAUUUCACCCCUCAAGCUCUGCUUGGUUUUGGGCCGCGCCGGCAACGGCGGGCCUCGAAAAUAGUGGCGACGCCAUCGUGCUCUCAGCGUAGUAAUUCUUCUCGCUGUUGGGUCCCGGUGGUCGUCCGCCAGCAACCCCCAACUUUCUUAAGUUUGACCUGGGAUGAGGUAGGGAUACCCGCUGAACUUAAGCAUAUCAAUAAGCGGAGGA